CAAGGCUGUGGAGGAAGAGGAGAAUUCAUUACAGCCCAGCGCAGAGAGGGCACCCACAGCCCCUCAGCUGCACCAGACCUUGGUCUUUGUUCCUACUGGCCAUGGGUGCUCAGUGUCCCCAUCCUCACUGCACCCCACACCCCAGAAUGAGGACACACACAAUGUCCCCUGGCAGGGAUCCACAGGACCAGGGCCUACAUGAUGUCCUCCCCUAGGGAGCCGGUGCAGCCCCACCCCUGUGUCCCCAGGUCCCUACAGCAGGUCCCUGCAGCAAGGACAUUUGGGCACAGACCCUCACCAGUUAGGACUGCACCACAGGCAGGAUGGCCCUCUUGGCCACUCAAAGCUUUUUCUGGUCCCCAAAACCACCUCCUGAUCAACCAAGACCACCUCCCAGACACCUGAGGCCAUCUCCUGGACACCUAAAACCAUCUCCUGGUCAUCUAAGAAUCAACUCCUUGUCAUCUGAAACAAUCUCCUGUCACCCAGGAGCACCUUCUAGUGGCAGGAAGACCAGCUCUGUGACCCCAUCUACUGGUGUCUGAGUCCCACCCCCACACUGGAGUGCCCUCCUCAUCCACAAUGUCCCCCCACAUGGUGCCACCUGCCACAUCUCUCCAUGCUCUUGUUGUCACCUUGCUUGUCCCAUGGUGACUUUCUAUGUCAUCCCUCAGACAGUGCCCUGUGUCUCCCUGCCUUGCCUUGGUGUUUUUCUCCAUGUGAUAAGGAUGUGGUCUCAUCCCACCCAAAACACCCACAAGCAGGGCCAUCCUCGCCACCACCAGUGACAGGGAUGUCAGCACACUUGCAGCGAGUGGAGAAGCUCGUCACUCCUCAUGCCUACAGGAUUUACCCAGGCAGACAGAGCAGAGCUCAGCAAGGAAACCAGCCAUGGAACAAAGCGCCAUCUCCAACUACCACUCGCCUGCAGCUCUUCAGGAAAAAAAUCUCAAAACUCAGAGAAAAUGGUUUUCUCCAGAGGAAGAAAUGAUCUCGAGAAAGAUGGGGAGUUGUGGUCCCGCAGGCACCAGCUGCUACAAACCUCCCAGGACACACAUUCCACAGGUUGCUGCAGCAUGGUUUCACUCAGCCUCCUUGAAGGAAAAUGUCUGAGGAGGAGAAGCUUUUUGGGGUCCCGGCGCAUUCUGUGGAGACCAUCAGCUCCAGGCUGGCCACCCAUGACCUACAUGAGCUGGAUCAUUUGCUCAUAG
rnacentral:lncRNA from 1 species